UAACUUGCCUCUAAAAUUUAUCUCCUUGAGUGUACUCAACAAAAGAUAAAUUUUAGUUAAGUCAAACCCAUCAUUCAGAAAUAUCAAAUAUUUCAUAGUGUCAAACAUAUCCCUAAUGGACCAGCCUUGAGUGUACUCAACAAACUGAGACGAUUUAGGAUUCUCGUUUUUCACUAUAAUGAUGGAAGGUGAUUACAAAUGUGACUUAAUAUUUUAUUGAGGGGAUUUGCAUACAACUCCUAGAUCAUUAAGUUGACAACUCCUUGUCCUCACAUAUUUUAUCAUGUCUCUAAAAUCUAUCUCCUUGAGUGUACUCAACAAAAGAUAAACUUUAGUUAAGUCGGACCCAUCAUUCAGAAACAUCUGAUAUUUCAUAGUGUCAGACAUAUCCAUAAUAGAUCAGCCUUGAGUGUUCUCAACAAGCUGAGAUCGAUUUAGGACUCUGGGUUUUCACUAUAAUGAUGGAGGACAAAUGUAAAAUAUGACUUAAUAUUUUAUUGAGGUUUUUGUAUGCAUAGGUCUCAUCAAUAUCGAUAUAAUCAUAUAUAUAUAAUUUAUUAUACAUCUACUAUGCAAAUAAAUAUACAUAUAGUAUAAUAUAAUAGUGUGGACAAUUAUGGACUUUUACUAUCUAGUCUUCCCGAGCCAUAAGGAAGACUAGUUGGUCAAUUCCUAGGGGGUAUAGCAUUGAACAGUGUCAAUGCACCAUCUCCAUGGUCUCCACCUCUUCUUAUCUCUUCAAUUAGUCCAAUUCCAACAUGUAUCCUAUACUAGUUGGCACGCAGGCCUAAAUGAAAUUGGACUCGC
rnacentral:lncRNA from 1 species